rnacentral:tRNA from 1 species
GUUCUUAUAGUUGAACUACAACGAUGUCUUUUCAGGACAUUAGUCUUGGUUAAAACCCAAGUAAGAAUU